UGAUAUUAAUAACUAUACUUAUGAUAAAACCUCCAUUCUUUGCAUUUCCAGUAUGCAGACAAUAUAUAUAAAUAAAGCAAUGCAUGCCUAAAAACAUUCUAAUGUUUGUCUCUUCUUACAGUCAAGUCCCACAACUACUCACCCAGAAAGUAACAUAUGCAUAUAACAUGAAUUCACUCCACCUGAGUCAGAUGUCAUGGAGAUCAUCCAGACACCAGAAGUAGAUGACACAGGACUCAGCGGUGAUGAGAAACAUUCAGCUGACCUGUGAGUGGGUAAAGGAGACCACUUGCUGUGAAGAUGAGCUGGAAAAGAUCUAAAGGAUGAUGCCCUGUUGUCUAUAACAAUGUGGGACUUGUUUAUAAACACCAUGUUUUAUGAGGGUGAAAGGAAUGAAGAAGAAAUGUCGACUCCCUUCCCUUUUAUAUUUUAGAGAAGAGCAGGAGAUAUAUGAGACAAGAGAGUUAUUUGUGGGUUUUGUUUACACAAAAAAAACCCUGUCUUGUGAAUCUACUAGUGGGGAUAGACUAAUGUAAAUAUUGAUUUUUUUUUAAUUGGUUUUGUAAAAUACCAUUAAACGUUUGUGUGAACUGUAAAGUGAUGUGUUCUUGAAAUAAAUGUAUAAUAUUUA